rnacentral:lncRNA from 1 species
GUCCAAAGUAAGGACAAUUUUUCCCAAGUGAUUGAGUGGAGCAGCAAAUGCCUGUGAAAAUAGUAGAUAUAAAAAUAUCAGCAAGAGCCAAAAUUACAAGACUGUUUCUGAAAAUAUUCCGAAAGAAUGUUUAGAAAACAUCUUUUUCCAGGUAGACAGAGAGUUUGUGAGGCUGCAUCAUUGGCAUCAUUUUAUCAUCACCAUCCCGCUCAGGAGCUCAAGAAGAGGGGAACUGAGUCAGUUAGAAUUACAGAGAAAAAAACAUAGUAUAUAUAAGGUUCUGGAGCUGAAAAAUACAAUGAACAAAGUGAAAAGUGAAACAGAGACUAUCAGCAGCAGAAUUAGUCAAGCAAAAGAAAGAAUCUGCAAAAUUGAAGAUGAGUUAUUUGAAAAUAUACAGUGAGAAGAGGAAAAAGAAAACCAUUUUUAAAAAUGAAGAAAGCUUACAGGAAUUAUGAGACAGCAUCAACAGACCAAAAGUUUGAGUCACUGGCAUUUUGGAAAUCUGCAGCUUCAGGGUGAUAAUAAUUUCAGUUGGAGCCUCACUGGUAACCUUGCUCAGCCACACGACUGGAAUGUAAGAGGCUGGGGCAUUUUGGACAGCACAGAUGUUAAACGUGAACACUACCUUCUCAGUAGCACAAAUCUGACUACAUCUUUAAGUCUCCAAGAGGAGAAAAAGAGCUUCAGGAAAGGGAGGAUGGGGAAGAGUUUCUGCAACAGAUCUUGAUACUUUUCAAUUCCAAGUCUUAUGAGCCAAAAUCUUGUUGCUGAUGGAAGGAAGAGAAAGAUUUAAAUUGGAUAUAAGCUAGCUAGGUUGAUGUCAAAUAGCUGAGAGUGAUGAGAAAGAAUGGGAUUUCCUUUAGAAUGUCACUAAGGGAUAGAAAUGAAAAUUCUACAGAACAGUUGAAGGAAAUGACUUUUAAAAGAAAAAGAGAAACAACUUCAUAUCUGUGUCUCAUCAAAUUCACAUCAUUCAUUAAUCUGGCUACACAUUGUUGAACAUGAGGACAUGAGCAAUAGAGGAAACCUGGAGGAAGAGGGUGUGGCAUGUUGAAAUUUAAAAAGAAGCAAUGUGUAUUUGCAAGUCAAACCAAUAUAAUAAAACCAGUGGUUAUUUUUUAAUGUUUUCAAUCAUUGGAAUAUACAUGAAUUUUCACAAUAAAGUGUGCUAAAGUAUUCAUAUCUUUUAGACCAUUAUUUGUCCUCCAGUAA